rnacentral:rRNA from 1 species
CGCAUCUGUGCAUGCAGCAUAUCAAUAAGCGGAGGAAAAGAAACUAACAAGGAUUCCCUUAGUAACGGCGAGUGAAGCGGGAAGAGCUCAAAUUUGAAAUCUUCAAGGUUUUACCUUGACGAAUUGUAGUUUAAAGAAGUGUUUUCUGUUGAAGUUUUGGUAAAAGUUCUUUGGAAUAGGACAUCAUAGAGGGUGAGAAUCCCGUAUUUGCCCAUUAUUUUCAGCUGUGUGAUACACUUUCAAAGAGUCGGAUUGUUUGGGAAUGCAGUCCAAAAUGGGUGGUAAAUUUCAUCUAAAACUAAAUAUUGGCGAGAGACCGAUAGCGAACAAGUACCGUGAGGGAAAGAUGAAAAGAACUUUGAAAAGAGAGUUAAACAGUACGUGAAAUUGUCAAAAGGGAAGCGUUUGACACCAGUGUUGUUUUCUCGAAAAUCAAUUAAAAAGAGUUUGAUUUUGUUGUGUAUUGACCUUAACAGCUUGCAUUUCAAUUUUCUUGCUUUUUUUAAUGCACUUUUCGUUUAACAAGUCAACAUCAGUUUCUUUUGUUGUAAAAAGGUCAUUGGAAGGUGGCUUUCUUUUCGGAGAAAGUGUUUAUAGCCUUUGACUCCUGCAAUCGGAGAGACUGAGGUCUGCAGCGUAGAUCCUUCGGGGUUAGAUACAUUUGUGCUAAGUUAUAGCUUUUUAUAGACAACUUGUUGACUAUGAUUAGUCUUGUAGCUUACUCGCUUAUGCUAUUUUACCUACGCUUAGGAUGUUGACACACGCGCGUGCUCG